GGCAGGGUGGAGCAGCGGAAGCUCGCCGGGCUCAUAACCCGGAGGUCGGUGGUUCGAAUCCACCCCCUGCCCCA
rnacentral:tRNA from 1 species